AGCGAACGCUGGCGGCAGGCCUAACACAUGCAAGUCGAACGAACUCUUCGGAGUUAGUGGCGGACGGGUGAGUAACACGUGAGAACGUGCCUUUAGGUUCGGAAUAACUCAGGGAAACUUGUGCUAAUACCGAAUGUGCCCUUCGGGGGAAAGAUUUAUCGCCUUUAGAGCGGCCCGCGUCUGAUUAGCUAGUUGGUUGGGGUAAUGGCCCACCAAGGCGACGAUCAGUAGCUGGUCUGAGAGGAUGACCAGCCACAUUGGGACUGAGACACGGCCCAAACUCCUACGGGAGGCAGCAGUGGGGAAUCUUGCGCAAUGGGCGAAAGCCUGACGCAGCCAUGCCGCGUGUAUGAUGAAGGUCUUAGGAUUGUAAAAUACUUUCACCGGUGAAGAUAAUGACUGUAGCCGGAGAAGAAGCCCCGGCUAACUUCGUGCCAGCCGCCGCGGUAAUAC
rnacentral:rRNA from 1 species